rnacentral:rRNA from 1 species
AGGAUUAAUAGCUUGCUCUUAUGAAGUUAGCGGCGGACGGGUGAGUAACACGUGGGUAACCUGCCCAUAAGACUGGGAUAACUCCGGGAAACCGGGGCUAAUACCGGAUAACAUUUUGAACCGCAUGGUUCGAAAUUGAAAGGCGGCUUCGGCUGUCACUUAUGGAUGGACCCGCGUCGCAUUAGCUAGUUGGUGAGGUAACGGCUCACCAAGGCAACGAUGCGUAGCCGACCUGAGAGGGUGAUCGGCCACACUGGGACUGAGACACGGCCCAGACUCCUACGGGAGGCAGCAGUAGGGAAUCUUCCGCAAUGGACGAAAGUCUGACGGAGCAACGCCGCGUGAGUGAUGAAGGCUUUCGGGUCGUAAAACUCUGUUGUUAGGGAAGAACAAGUGCUAGUUGAAUAAGCUGGCACCUUGACGGUACCUAACCAGAAAGCCACGGCUAACUACGUGCCAGCAGCCGCGGUAAUACGUAGGUGGCAAGCGUUAUCCGGAAUUAUUGGGCGUAAAGCGCGCGCAGGUGGUUUCUUAGUCUGAUGUGAAAGCCCACGCUCACCGUGGAGGUCAUUGAAACUGGGAGACUUGAUUGCAGAAGAGAAAGUGGAAUUCCUGU